rnacentral:lncRNA from 1 species
UGGAAAGAGAAUUGAAGGGGGGGUUAUUGCUCGGGAUAAACCGGGAGAGCAAACAAACAGAUCGAUAUUUCAUUAGGUAUCACCAUUUCAGAUGUGGCAUCAUUCUCCAACCCACAUUCUCGCCAAUUUGAGAGGUUAGCUAGCAUUCCAACCAAAGAAAGGAGUGCCCGGGAAGAUGUUAGGUGAUGCCAGACUAGAAGGCCCCGUUCGAGCCGCGAACCUCCACCGCCAACCCGUCCAUAGUAGUCGGAGGAAGACAGGUCCCACUGGGCACACGUCAUUUCACC